GAGGAAAAUAAACCAAUAAUUAAAACUUUCAACAACGGAUCUCUUGGUUCUGGCAUCGAUGAAGAACGCAGCGAAAUGCGAUAAGUAAUGUGAAUUGCAGAAUUCAGUGAAUCAUCGAAUCUUUGAACGCACAUUGCGCCCGCCGGUAUUCCGGCGGGCAUGCCUGUUCGAGCGUCAUUU
rnacentral:rRNA from 1 species